UCGAGCGCUCCCCGCCCGGCGGCGCCUCCGGGGACGAUGCGGGGCUGGCGCGGGCCAGGCCGGCUUCCCAACUUAGGGAGGCGGGGUGGAAGGGGGUGCUUUCCCUUUCUAUCAAAUUCGUGUUGUGCUGGUGAACUCAUCCCGGGUCCAGCAUGACGAUCCGACACCAAGGCCAGCAGUACAGGCCGAGGAUGGCAUUUCUCCCAAAGUGGAAAAGACAAAGAAAGCAAUCUGGAAUGGUCUCUAGCACUUUCCACAAGAACUCUACUUAAGUUACACCAAGUAUUUACAUGUCUGCUGUGGGCUGAAUGAUGUCCUAUUCAUGGAUGGAAAUCCCAACUUCCAGCUGAUUAAAAUGAGGAAGAGCUCAGAAGACCCCACAGGUACACAGACCAAGAGGAGACCAUGUGAGAAGACAGUAAGAAGGUCGCCUGCUUGUGCCAAGGAGACAGUCCUCGAAAGGAACCAAACUGUUGACACUUUCAUCUUGAACUUCUAACAAUGAGGGUAUCGUGACCCACUUCCACACAGUGCCAACUGGCACCCUUCUUCCAAGUCCCUUUUCUACACAUUCCUUUGCAAUUCCUCCUCGUCUGACCCAGUCACCGCCUGUCCGGUUCACAAAUAAUAACGCGCAUCAUAUGUCUGUUACUUUCUUUCUGGUGCUGUUACAGAAGCUUGAACUCGGGGCCUGAGCGCUGUCUCUGAGCUUUUCUGCGCAAGGCUAGUGCUCUACCACUUGAGCCACAGUUCUACCUCCUGCCUUCCGGUAGUUACUGCAGAUGAGAGUCUCACCGACUGUCCUGUCUGGGCUGGCUUCGAACACCCAUCCUCAGAUCUCAGCCUUCCGAGCAGCUAGGAUUACAGGCGUGAGCCACGGGCGCCCGGCUCGGUUUCCUUUGAGAUGGGCCACUCGGCCUCCGCUUCACGAAGAGCAACGGGGCCUUGAGCCCUUGGACUGGGGCAGCACCCGCAUCUCCCACAGGGAGGGGGAAGGGGGGUCCGGCGCCCUGGGCUCCAAAGCGGCGGCGGGGGACGGCCCCCAACCUCCUCUGACACCCCCAGACCCGAACCCCAGAGGUGAGGAAGAACCCAGAGCCACGCUGCCGCCAACCUAACACGCCACCGCGGCGGGACGGAAGCGGAGGUGUGAAGAAGAAACCGGAAGUCCGGUCCUGGAGCCUGCCGUUCCUCUCUAGGAGCC